rnacentral:rRNA from 1 species
GGAUUGUAGUCUGCAACCCGACUACAUGAAGCUGGAAUCGCUAGUAAUCGCGAAUCAGAAUGUCGCGGUGAAUACGUUCCCGGGUCUUGUACACACCGCCCGUCACACCAUGGGAGUCGGAAAUGCCCGAAGUCAGUGACCUAACCGAAAGGGAGGAGCUGCCGAAGGUGGAGCCGGUAACUGGGGUGAAGUCGUAACAAGGUACC